AGCAGCCGCGGUAAUUCCAGCUCCAAUAGCGUAUAUUAAAGUUGUUGCAGUUAAAAAGCUCGUAGUUGAAUUUCGGGAUCAAUAUGUUGGUCGUGCCUUGGUACGUACUGGCAUUAUCGAUUCCUACCUUCUGAAGAACCUCGAUGUCAUUAAUUUGGUGUCUUGGGGAAUCAGGACUGUUACUUUGAAAAAAUUAGAGUGUUUAAAGCAGGCUCGCGCUUGAAUACAUUAGCAUGGAAUAAUGAAAUAGGACGUUUGAUUCUAUUUUGUUGGUUUCUAGGAUCGACGUAAUGAUUAAUAGGGAUAGUUGGGGGCAUUAGUAUUCAAUUGUCAGAGGUGAAAUUCUUGGAUUUAUUGAAGACUAACUACUGCGAAAGCAUUUGCCAAGGAUGUUUUCAUUAAUCAAGAACGAAAGUUAGGGGAUCGAAGACGAUCAGAUACCGUCGUAGUCUUAACCAUAAACUAUGCCGACUAGGGAUCGGAUGAUGUUAAUUUUUAAUGAC
rnacentral:rRNA from 1 species